UACAUGGAGUCCAAACGUUAUCCGGAUUUACUGGGCGUAAAGCGUGCGCAGGCGGUUUUGUAAGCCAGAUGUGAAAUCCCCGGGCUCAACCUGGGAACUGCAUUUGUGACUGCAUGGCUAGAGUGCGGCAGAGGGGGAUGGAAUUCCGCGUGUAGCAGUGAAAUGCGUAGAUAUGCGGAGGAACACCGAUGGCGAAGGCAAUCCCCUGGGCCUGUACUGACGCUCAUGCACGAAAGCGUGGGGAGCAAACAGG
rnacentral:rRNA from 1 species